rnacentral:pre_miRNA from 1 species
AAAAAGAUAAACCAUGGGUUUCCGUGUCCAACUUUGACUGUCCGUCUUAUAUGAAAUUUUUUUAUAAUUCGUAUUUUUAUUGUUGUUAGAUGAUAAAACAUGAUUAAUAUUUUAUGCGUGACUUGUCUUUUUAAUUUUUUCAUAUUUUUUUUCAAAUAAGACGGACGGUCAAAUGUUGGACACGGAAACC